rnacentral:lncRNA from 14 species
CAGGCAGUGCUUGCCCUGCUUUGGAGCAUGGCACAGCUCUGCCCCUCUGCAGCACAGCUGGGUUCUGGGAGGGGCAGAGCAAGGGCUGGCUGUGCCACCAAACCCUGUGGUAAGAAGUGAGGAAUCACUUGCUGGAGUCAGGAAGAUGGGUAGUGAUGAUGCACAGCAUUGAAAAUGAAAAAACUGAUUAAUCCCAUUUCUUAUACAGAAAGGCUGAAUGCUUGGAGUCAGAAAAUUCACUGCUGUCACAUCGUCCCUUGCCUUGGAGCUGGGCUCAGGCUUACAGUGAUUCCUGUUACACACCCUUCCCAUCCCAGGCACGUCUAGGCAUCAUCACUCUGGGCUGAAUCAGACCUGUCUGAGCAUUCACCCUCCUGUCACAGAAGAAGCGAAGGAUGCAGCAAGGCUCAGAGUGGGCGGCUCCAGGUGUCAACUGAGCAGAGUCAGGAUCAGCUGCAGUUAUUCCAGAGUACGUGUCCACGUGCAGAAUAUUCCGGAACAGGUAUUUCACUUUAAAUUCAUUCCCCGUCUUAUUCCAGAAUAUUUUCCCUGCAUAGAGAAGCACUUGGCUGGGGUCUCUGCUUGCUGCCGUGCUAGUGAUAAGAUGGAUUGGCUGAUCUAAUAGGUCUUUUCAAUCUCUGAUUUUGAAAGCUAAGAUUGGGAAAUUAAUUUCAGAAAGGUCAAAACAGAGCAAGGCUAUCCUGCUGCUGUGCGAUGGAUCC